rnacentral:rRNA from 1 species
GAUGAACGCUGGCGGCGUGCCUAAUACAUGCAAGUCGAGCGAACAGACGAGAGUGCUUGCACUCUCUGACGUUAGCGGCGGACGGGUGAGUAACACGUGGGUAACCUACCUAUAAGACUGGGAUAACUUCGGGAAACCGGAGCUAAUACCGGAUAAUAUUUAGCUUCGCAUGAAGCAAUAGUGAAAGACGGUUCUGCUGUCACUUAUAGAUGGACCCGCGGUGUAUUAGCUAGUUGGUGAGGCAACGGCUCACCAAGGCAACGAUACAUAGCCGACCUGAGAGGGUGAUCGGCCACACUGGGACUGAGACACGGCCCAGACUCCUACGGGAGGCAGCAGUAGGGAAUCUUCCGCAAUGGACGAAAGUCUGACGGAGCAAUGCCGCGUGAGUGAAGAAGGUUUUCGGAUCGUAAAACUCUGUUGUAAGGGAAGAACAAGUACGUUAGUAACUGAACGUACCUUGACGGUACCUUACCAGAAAGCCACGGCUAACUACGUG